GGCCAUGCGGCUGCUUACACAUGCAGUCGAACGAUGAUGCCCAGCUUGCUGGGCGGAUUAGUGGCGAACGGGUGAGUAAUACGUGAGUAACCUGCCCUUGACUCUGGGAUAAGCCUGGGAAACUGGGUCUAAUACUGGAUACUACCUCUUACCGCAUGGUGGGUGGUGGAAAGGGUUUUACUGGUUUUGGAUGGGCUCACGGCCUAUCAGCUUGUUGGUGGGGUAAUGGCUCACCAAGGCGACGACGGGUAGCCGGCCUGAGAGGGUGACCGGCCACACUGGGACUGAGACACGGCCCAGACUCCUACGGGAGGCAGCAGUGGGGAAUAUUGCACAAUGGGCGGAAGCCUGAUGCAGCGACGCCGCGUGAGGGAUGACGGCCUUCGGGUUGUAAACCUCUUUCAGUAGGGAAGAAGCGAGAGUGACGGUACCUGCAGAAGAAGCGCCGGCUAACUACGUGCCAGCAGCCGCGGUAAUACGUAGGGCGCAAGCGUUGUCCGGAAUUAUUGGGCGUAAAGAGCUCGUAGGCGGUUUGUCGCGUCUGCUGUGAAAGCCCGGGGCUCAACCCCGGGUCUGCAGUGGGUACGGGCAGACUAGAGUGCAGUAGGGGAGACUGGAAUUCCUGGUGUAGCGGUGAAAUGCGCAGAUAUCAGGAGGAACACCGAUGGCGAAGGCAGGUCUCUGGGCUGUUACUGACGCUGAGGAGCGAAAGCAUGGGGAGCGAACAGGAUUAGAUACCCUGGUAGUCCAUGCCGUAAACGUUGGGCACUAGGUGUGGGGGACAUUCCACGUUUUCCGCGCCGUAGCUAACGCAUUAAGUGCCCCGCCUGGGGAGUACGGCCGCAAGGCUAAAACUCAAAGGAAUUGACGGGGGCCCGCACAAGCGGCGGAGCAUGCGGAUUAAUUCGAUGCAACGCGAAGAACCUUACCAAGGCUUGACAUUCACCGGACCGCCCCAGAGAUGGGGUUUCCCUUCGGGGCUGGUGGACAGGUGGUGCAUGGUUGUCGUCAGCUCGUGUCGUGAGAUGUUGGGUUAAGUCCCGCAACGAGCGCAACCCUCGUUCUAUGUUGCCAGCACGUGAUGGUGGGGACUCAUAGGAGACUGCCGGGGUCAACUCGGAGGAAGGUGGGGAUGACGUCAAAUCAUCAUGCCCCUUAUGUCUUGGGCUUCACGCAUGCUACAAUGGCCGGUACAAAGGGUUGCGAUACUGUGAGGUGGAGCUAAUCCCAAAAAGCCGGUCUCAGUUCGGAUUGAGGUCUGCAACUCGACCUCAUGAAGUCGGAGUCGCUAGUAAUCGCAGAUCAGCAACGCUGCGGUGAAUACGUUCCCGGGCCUUGUACACACCGCCCGUCAAGUCACGAAAGUUGGUAACACCCGGAAGCCGGUGGCCUAACCCCUUGUGGGAGGGAGCCGUCGAAGUGAAUUGUU
rnacentral:rRNA from 1 species